GAGGGAAUAGCUCAACUGGUAGAGUGCAUGCUUAGCAUGCACAAGGUCCUGAGUUCAAUCCCCAGUACCUACU
rnacentral:tRNA from 1 species